rnacentral:rRNA from 1 species
UGGCGGACGGGUGAGUAAUGUCUGGGAAACUGCCUGAUGGAGGGGGAUAACUACUGGAAACGGUAGCUAAUACCGCAUAACGUCGCAAGACCAAAGAGGGGGACCUUGGGCCUCUUGCCAUCGGAUGUGCCCAGAUGGGAUUAGCUAGUAGGUGGGGUAAGGGCUCACCUAGGCGACGAUCCCUAGCUGGUCUGAGAGGAUGACCAGCCACACUGGAACUGAGACACGGUCCAG